UUAUUCAUUAUUCGUCUAAUGUAUGUAUGUACCAUAAAGUAUAGGUACCUAAUAAUUACGUAGAUACUUUAAUUAAGGAAUACCUAAUCUAGUCACGAUGAGAAGAGUCAGCUUCAGCUAUCGUUUCACUCUCAAGUCAAUGAAAUACUUCCAUAAUAAAUAUGUAGGUAUACUUACAGGGUGAUUCCUGGAAUGAUCUGUCAAAAUUCUUCUGUAGAUAGUACUUACUACUUAAGGACGUUAUUACGUAAGAUUGGUUGCCUAUCUUGUGAAUUAAAGGAGCCACGUGCUUCGCAAAAACAAAACUCAAAUUCACUAAUUUUGAAGAAAAAAAAUCAUCAAAAAUACGAAUGUUCGAAUAAUUUAAAUGAUGCCCAUAAGGCAUAAGUUCCAUAACCCGUAGUAUUCGGGUGGACGAACAAAAAAUCAUAUCAUGACAAAUUACCUAUCUUCAAUAAAAUUUUAAAAUUGAAAAGGCAAACUUGGUUCAGUUGUUUUGAUUCAAUCCCUGGAAGUAGAUUUUGAAAAUUUUUAAGAUUGAAAACCAAUCAUAUAACUUUUUUGUCUUCUUCUCGAGUACUACAUAUCUAUAGUGGAACUGGAACACCUUGUAUAGUAAUUAUGUAGCCUGUAGGUACUCCUGCUUAUGUGUUAAUUAACUUCACUCUUCAGUCUUCAAUUCUCAAUUCGUCAAAAAACUCACAUCACAUCCACUGUACUUUCACAAACCGAAACGUGAAAAUGAAAAAUAAUGCCAAAAAGGCAAAAAUAACAUAGAAAUUAUCUGGUCACGAAGUUGAAGUUGAAACUUGAGAUUGAACUAAUUGAACGAAUAAGUGAAUAGGUAACUUUAAUUUCAAAUUUAAUUUCGAAUCGAAAAAAAAAUUGAAAAAUUUCAAAAAAUUACGUUGUUUUGUGUGCCACAACUGUAAUUAAGUGACAAAGGUAAUUUUUAACCACAUGUUUUGCCAACACUGUUUCAAAAGAUCGAGUGCAGCGCACUCUGUCUUACGACUUGUUCUCUACCAAGUUGAAACUUUUUAUCAUUAGUUUAUCGAUCGUCGUUGCAUGAUACAACGUGAGAUUUUCCUCGUUUAUUUUUAACAUUUUUCGAACGAAAUUUUACAAUCAUGGUUUCUGUAUCGGAAGCUUAUAAUUAUUUUAAAUUGUUCGUAUAUAAUUUGUGCACCAAUGUUUGCUCGAUUGUGAAUUUUCCUCUGGUAUUCGAAGCGUUUAAGAAAAGCGCCAUCGAGUUCGCAUCAGCUUGUAGUCCGGAAUUGAGAGCUAACGAUUGAAAAUUUACGUAUUUGAUGUCCAAAAAUUUAUACCGAAAAUGAGGAGAAGGAGAAUUAAAAUAUGAAGAUUUUUUUAUAUUAUGUAAUUUAAGAAUUUUUUGUUAUUAUUUUGUUUUAUUUCGUCUAAUAUUUUUUAUUUGAUUCAUUUGGUUUAUUGUGUAAUGUGUAUACGUCGAUUUGCGAAGUAUUAUAAUUAAAUAUUUUCAAAAACCAGUC